UAUUGGAUACCUGGGCUCUCAAUUAGAUCGCCGCAAACACCGAAAAUUCUGGGAAAAAAAACUGCCAGAAUACCAGGAUAUAUUUAAAGGAAAAAAA
rnacentral:rRNA from 1 species